GUGGGGAAUUUUGGACAAUGGGCGCAAGCCUGAUCCAGCCAUGCCGCGUGCAGGAUGAAGGCCUUCGGGUUGUAAACUGCUUUUGUACGGAACGAAAAGACUCUGGUUAAUACCUGGGGUCCAUGACGGUACCGUAAGAAUAAGCACCGGCUAACUACGUGCCAGCAGCCGCGGUAAUACGUAGGGUGCGAGCGUUAAUCGGAAUUACUGGGCGUAAAGCGUGCGCAGGCGGUUAUGUAAGACAGAUGUGAAAUCCCCGGGCUCAACCUGGGAACUGCAUUUGUGACUGCAUAGCUAGAGUACGGCAGAGGGGGAUGGAAUUCCGCGUGUAGCAGUGAAAUGCGUAGAUAUGCGGAGGAACACCGAUGGCGAAGGCAAUCCCCUGGGCCUGUACUGACGCUCAUGCACGAAAGCGUGGGGAGCAAACAGGAUUAGAAACCCCGGUAGUCC
rnacentral:rRNA from 1 species